UCGAGUUCCAAUGUACGAAUUCAGCUAAAAUAAUAAAUCAAACGGGUGGUCAGGAUCGAACAUAUAAGACCGCUUGCAACAAUGUCAACAUAGUCUGCAUAUACUUUCUGGGUAUUAUUACUCUGAAUCAUGUGACACAACACGGAUAUAUACAAGGCCCGAGAAUAAAAUCAAAGUGAAGUGAUCGAGGAGGAUACUGUAUUUAUGGUUUUGAAAUGUUCGUCGCAAAUUUGUCUCAUGAGAGAUCAUAGUAUAUACCAGAACGGAGAGACUAAAAUUUAGUCACCAUUGCUACUUUCUAAGAGAUCUUUGCAUUUGGCGGAAAGAAUGAAUGCGUUAUAAUCAACUUUGAAGCAACUCACAUACUUUGAGAACUGUCUCUCAAAACGGUGAAUAUUUCAUCAUUUUCUGACUGACAGUAAAAGAUGGAAAAACCUCCGCAGUACAGCCCAAGUGAAGAUCCCCACGAACAAGAAUAUGUUGGUAAUGUAGCACCUCCUUACACCAGUCAUCAACCACCCGAGAAUCCAGGCUAUCCCCCGGCAAACCAAGAGGCAGGAAACCAAGCACAGAGAGACUAUGGAGCGACUGGGUACACACAUCAUGAACAAGACCAUCUACCUCAGGAUCCGAGAUAUUAUCCCCAAGGACAAAGACAUCCACUCCAAGAUCCGGGGUAUCAACCCCGAGGACAGGAAUAUCUACCUCAGAGAAAUAUUCAGCAAUCUGUGGGAUGUACUAAUACUUCAUCAGUACCUUAUAGUCCAUCAACGCCCUUGAUCCAAAAUCAAGCGCAAUUUGCACCAGGUGCUUGGCCUAUUAUGGACAAUCAUAUGGCUUUAUCAAUCAUUAGCUGUUUCUUUUUCCCGCCAGUUGGCAUCUUUGCUGUCUUGAAAUCAUCUCAGACACAAAAUCGUUACAUGGCUGGGGACUAUGCCGGAGCAGUGGCGUCAGCAAGAAAGGCAAAAUACCUUGCACUUGUUGCCAUUAUUUGUGGCUUUAUCGGCUAUCUCAGUGGUAUAAUUUUAUUGUCAAUUAUUGCGACGAGUGAAGAAGGGAGGCGACAUCACGAUAAUCAGUUUUAUGUAAAUAAUUAAUAACCGCACAGUGAAGCAUCACUUGACCCUUUACCAUGCACAUCGCCGGAGAAGGUAUUCUCUUGGCAAAUAUAGACAAAUGCCUACAAUCAGUGACAUUAAAAUUUGGGACACUUGUAUAGACAGAGUACAUUUUUACGUGAUCUUAGAAAAUUAACUUGUAACCCCCCUCCCCCGUUUCAAUGUUGCUUUUUCUGGUGAAAAAAAUGUUGGCAAACAAAUCCAAGGCAAUGGCUUGCCCCGUGAAGGGUUUAUUUCGGCAUACAACAUUGAAAAAGGGGGGGAGGGGGAAAAUGUUGCUUUUCCAGGCUAAGCGGUCCAAUAUUUAUGCCACUGAUUGUAGUAAGCCAGGCGUAGAAAUUAUCAAAUUUUCAUACUGUUAAAUGCCCAAUUACUGCAAUGUAAAGAUAAUCGUCAUUCUAUAAAUAGUAGACUUGCUCUAACUUAAUUCAAGAUUCCUGCUUAGGAAAUAUCAGUGUUAAAAUAAAUAUUUUUCAAUAAUCGCUCUGUAAAACUGAAAGCAAUCACAAACUAAUCGAGAAAUAAAAGCAAAUCAACUUAGCAUAGAAUAUCGCGACAAGUGCAGGCAUGCGUAAACAAACAUGAUUUCCGGUUUUAUAUACACGAAAAAGGCCCACCCGUUGUUCCAAUUUUAAUCAUGUGACGCAUGUUCAAAAAUGAAUACGAAUAACCAGGCCCAAAGUUGAAAUCAAAGACGAAUGAUAGAAGAUAUUCAUAUAUAGUUGGGAUAUAUUCUUGGGGGAUAAACAGAAAUUAUUCUAAGAGGGCAAGUAUAAAGACGUACAACGAUUUCCGAAAGACGUACGACGAUUUCCGAAAGACAAACGACGAUUCCCGAAAGACGUACAACGAUUUCUUGCUGGAAAUGGAAAAGCCACCACCGUACAGUCCAGAAAGUCAAGAGACCCCACAUCAAGAAUAUACCCCAUCUUCUAACACCAGUUACCAGCAAUUACCGCCUGAUGCCCCACAACAACAGGCUGGGGAUCUAUUAAAAAAAACUGAUUAUGGAAGCACUGGGUAUACACCACAAGAACAAAGCUCUCCACCUUCAUCUUUCGCAAGUUCUUCACAAGGACAAGGAUAUCAACCCCAAGGACAAGGUUAUCAACCACAAGGACAGGGUUAUCAACCACAAGGACAGGGAUAUCAACCACAAGGACAGGGAUAUCAACCGCAAGGACAGGGUUAUCAACCACAAGGACAAGGUUAUCAACCCCAAGAACAGGGAUAUCAAUUCAAAGGACAGGGAUAUCAACACCAAGUUAAUACUCAGGAACCCGGGGGGUACACCUCACAAAAUAUCAAUUCUACAACAGUACACGUGACUCAAAAUCCGCAACCGCAAAUUGCAACCGGUGUUCCGCCUGUUGUGAACACUCAUUUGAUUUUAUCAAUCAUUGCCUGUGUUUGUUUUAGCCCGCCAAUAGGAAUUUUUGCUAUCCUAAAAUCGUCUGAGGCACAAAGGCGUUACAUGGUUGGAGACUAUGUCGGAGCGGUGGCAUCGGCACGAUCAGCAAGAAACCUGUCAAUUGCGGCCAUUAUUUGCGGCCUGAUUAUAGUCAUAAUUAUAGUCACUAUCUGAAUGAAUUCCACGUGCUAAAUUUUUACGUGUUAUUUGAGCGUUUUCCCGCCAAAAUACGUACGUGACCAAAAAAAAAAUCUACUCUUAAUGAAAUUUAAUUUGGCAGUAACGGAGACAUUUGAAACAUUUUUAGAGAAAAAAUCACAUCGAGAUCAGUGGCCUAUGAUUUUGAAGCCGAGAUAAUUUUGUAAGGUCGUAAACUCGACCUCGGAUUAAUGUAUUUUUUUCACAGUUGAAAUAUAAUAUUUAUAUUUGAA
rnacentral:misc_RNA from 1 species